rnacentral:rRNA from 1 species
UACGUAGGGUGCAAGCGUUGUCCGGAAUUAUUGGGCGUAAAGAGCUCGUAGGCGGUUUGUUGCGUCGGCUGUGAAAUCCCGAGGCUCAACCUCGGGUCUGCAGUCGAUACGAGCAAACUAGAGUGUUGCAGGGGAGACUGGAAUUCCUGGUGUAGCGGUGAAAUGCGCAGAUAUCAGGAGGAACACCAAUGGCGAAGGCAGCUCGCUGGGACGGUACUGACGCUGGAGACGCGAAAGCGUGGGGAGCGAACAGG